ensembl:lncRNA
CAAACGUCAGCCUCCAGGCCUGGCCCUCUUGGAGGGGCCUUUGCAUGGGCAGGAGCUGAAGACCGCCAGGGCAUGGCUUUCCUCUGAGACUUCACAGGAGUCUGCAGAAAGGUGCGCCUGGCCUUGGCAGCCCUGGCCAGGGCCGCUUCCCUGGUCAGGCCACAUCUGGUUUGGAGAUUCUUCUUCAGAGCUGUUCGAGGGAGCUGGGUGCAGGGGAGCACGCCUGUAAUCCCAGCCCUUGGGAGGCUGAGGCAGGAAGAUGCAGGCGGCGAAAUCACUGAGCUAAAUCCCCGACUGAGACCUUGUUUAAAAAAGAAAAAAUAAUUUUGUUAAAGGCUGGAGAUACAGCUCAAUGUGAAUGUCCUGGGUUCAAUCUACUAUUGCGAAAAACAAAACAGUGCAAGGAAAUUGUUCAUAUGAGCAAGCACCCCGGUGAGAAAUCCUCCACUUGUCUGGAGAGGUUUUCGUCAUCCACCCAGAUCUAGAAGAUCUAGAACCAACAGACCUUGUGCCGGUCCAGACAGGGUCUCGCUGUGUAGCCCAGGCUGGCCUCGAACUCGGGGC